rnacentral:rRNA from 1 species
AUGUACGGCCAUGCUACUCCGAACAAGUCUGAUCCCAUCUGAUCUCGGAAGCUAAGCAGGGUCAGUCCUGGUUAGUACUUGGUAUUCGAGACCACCUAGGAAGACCAGGUGCUGUAGGCA